rnacentral:lncRNA from 1 species
GGAAGAAACAUUUCUAAUAUGCAGUCCAUUCUUACAGGCAUAUUAACUUGAAAGUUAAUCAUAGUUCUGGCCCCAGAUGGUUACAGUGCAUCUGCUUCUCCAUCUGUGGGAGUCUUUAAGGAUACUUGAUAGCUGUCCAAAUAAGCGCUUAAAAAUUGUAUCAUAUAAAGGCAAAAUAACAAGAUAGCAUAAUCUAGAAUGAUACCAAAGGAAAGGGAGGUGGAGUAAGUGUUUGAAGCCCUCAGCUGCACCCUAUGGAUUUCACCUGAAAUACAGAUCUGUUGUGUGGCAUACAUAAAGCUUUUCUCUUUGUAGGUGUGCUCUGAAGAUGUACCUACCUACUUUCAUCAGGAAAUUGUUAUAGAAAUAUGUUUCCUGCUUUGCCAUGGACAAGAAGCUUACAAUUAUGAAACAGAUAAACACAUUGUCUCCAGUGGUCACAGGUGUGGUUCUGUUGUGCCUAACUGCUGCUCAUUGCCAAACCAUUCUGCAGGCUCCAUCAGCUGCCUCAGUGUCCUGUUGUAAGGGAACUGGGGGAGGUAAGUGCCAUGCUUCACAUAUAAGGUACAAAUCAUGUUAUUUGUGUGAUCUCCUGGUUUAUAUAUUCCAUAUAUUUCCUUAUUUUAGAUUUACUACUUACUCUUGCUAUAAGCCAAGGGUGUUAGUGCAUACUUCCUCUCUUCCUAAACCCGAACACCCAAAGGCGCAGUGAGUUUUUACCAAGCAUUUCUUAAAGAACGACUCAGUAUGAGAAACCCUCUCACAAAACCCACACAAAUCCCUGUAAUCAGCCCUGCCAAUUCACUGCAGACUGCAAACAGCUAUAGACAGGAUUCCAAACAGUUAAUUUCAAAUAGCUCAUUUUCUCUCAUCUCUGCACAAAUUCCUGUCAUGUUGCAUUACAUGUAAACAACUCAGAAACUUAAUGACAUGCCUUUCAGUCAAAAACUGGUAUGGUUUUUCAGUCUGAGCAGAUUAAUUGCAGUUUGUAACAAUAUAGACUGAUGCAGUCUGAUUAGGGUUUCUAUUGCUCUUUGAGAUAAAAUAUUUUAUGUGAAUGUAAAGCCAAGAUUUCUGCUGGCACGACUUUAUUGACUUCUGCGGGAAAAUAAAAUACCCAUGUAAAAUCCA